rnacentral:ribozyme from 19 species
AAAAAAAAAAAAAAAAGAAAAAAGAAAGGAGUACGCGCAUCGAAAUGUAUAUACUUCGGUAUCUUUCUUUCCCUUUCUGUCCUCCUGUUUUUUUAUUU